UGGAUACCGUCAGGCACAAGGCAGUUACUCCUCAUACGUUUCUUCUCCACUGACAGGGUUUUACACACCAAGAUGCUUCAUCACCCACGCGGCGUUGCUGCGUCAGACUUUCGUCCAUUGCGCAAUAUUCCCU
rnacentral:rRNA from 1 species